AGCCUGGUUAUCAGGUUAUCUCUGACAGAGAAGUAUGGUUGUUAGGUCACCUCUUAAAAUGAAAACUGAUUGUUAGGUGAUCUGUAAUCAGUGGAAGGCUUGUUGUCAGAUGAUCUCUGACAGAGAAGUCUUGUUAGGAUAUGUCUGACAGAGAAACCUGUUUGUUACAGAGCUCUUACAGAGAAGCCUGAUUGUUAUGUGACCUCACAAAGAGAAGACUGUUAGGUGACCUCAAAAGAGAAGCCUGGUGGUUAGUUGACUUCUGACAGAGAAGAGCUCUUACAGAGAGUCCUGAUUGUUAUGUGACCUCACAAAGAGAAGAAUGUUUGUUAGGUGACCUCCAAAGGAGAAGGCUGGUGGUUAGUUGUCCUCCAAAAGAGAAGCCUGGUGGUUACCUGACUUCUGACAGAGAAGAGCUCUUACAGAGAAGCCUGAUUGUUAUGUGAGCUCACAAAGAGAAGACUGUUAGGUGUCCUCCAAAGGAGAAGGCUGCUGGUUAGUUGACCUCCAAAAGAGAAGCCUGAUGGUUACCUGACUUCUGACA